rnacentral:lncRNA from 1 species
CCUAAGCUCACAGCUUCAUGCAGUUGUGACUGCUUAUUCACAGAUCAGUCCAUCAUACUACAACCUAUGCUGAAAAAGUGAAGCUCAUGAAAUGAGGAAUGAUUCUAUUAUACAAACAUCUUUCUUCCAGAAUGUACCACCUUGAAUAGACUAUUAUCUUUUGACAUUUUAGUGGAAACAAGAACUUGCUCUUCAAACCUUCCAUAACAAUCUAUAUUUAACAAACUCGCAGAUGGUUGGAAUAAGAUCCAGCUUGAGGAUCCUUUUUUUCUGUGUGAGGAAGAAGUCGAGAUGUGCCAUUUUCCAAGAGUUCCACGUGAGAUGAGACAUUGACUUUUGACAGGUGUUUGUUUGAAUAUCAAACAGACCGAUGGAGGCCUACAGAUGGCCAACAGAUUGCAUUCCAGACUGGGCCUUCAUUCUAGGACUGGCCAGUGGGGGAGCAGAGAGAGUAGUCUCGUCUCGAUGGCUCUCUGGGGCUCUGGACGUAAAAACCUCUCAUCAUCACCAUCAUCCUCAGACAGAGGCUGUGUCAGGCACCUGAGACCAUGUUUUUCCAUCAGCGCUGAGCAGGGAUCAGAGUUUGAUCCCAUCAAUAUCUGCAGUGGCAUCAACAUCAAGCUCAGCACCAGGAACUAGUACCAAUCCUGCUGCUGAUGACGAUGACCUGGACACCAGCUUUAGUAGUACAGAGCCUGUAGACCCAUUGAAUGAAAGCUUUCAGCAUGGAAUAAGCCCAAUCUCAACAUCACCUGACGUGGAUACAAGCCAUGACAGCCAAAGGAAAAUGCCACGGGCACUAUCUGAUGUGUGGAGACAUUUCACUGCAGCUAAUGUAGAAGGAAAGGCUGUGUACAUUUGCAAAUACUGUGCCAAAUCAUGUGUGAAGAAUGCAACAAAGAUGCAGAAUCAUCUGGCCAAGUGCAUAAAGUUCCUUCAGCGUUCACAACAAGCAACCUCUGACAAAAGUCCCUCUACUUCUAUUCGAGGUCAAAUCAGACACCUUAUCGAUUGCAACAGCUGGAAUCAGAAGUUUUUUGACUCAACGGAGGAACGUAGUCAGAGAAAUGCUGAUGAAUGUCUUGCUCGAGCUGUGUAUGCAACUGGUUCACCUCUGAUGCUCACAGGCAAUGUGUAUUGGAAGAAAUUUCUGAAUGUUCUUUGCCCAGCAUACACCCCUCCAACCAGACAUGCUUUAUCUACUAAUUUGCUGGAUGCAGAGUUCAACAGAAGAGUCAACUCAUUUAAUUAAAGUUCAAUUCAUAACUAAAUAGUUUUUUUUAUUUCUAUUGUAAGGAUUUAAUAAUUUGCAAUUAUGUCUACUUAUCAAGGCACAAGGCGAGACCCAGAUGCAGACACAGGAGGCAGAUGGUUGGAGUCUUACAAUGUUUAUUAAUCCAAAGGGUUAGGCAAAAGAAUGGUUGUGGACAGGCAAAAAGGUCAAAACCAGAUCAGAGUCCAGGAGGUACAGAGUGGCAGACAGGCUCGUGGUCAAGGCAGGCAGAAUGGUCAGGCAGGCGGGUAGAAAAAGGAG